rnacentral:rRNA from 1 species
CCUACGGGAGGCAGCAGUGAGGAAUAUUGGUCAAUGGACGAGAGUCUGAACCAGCCAAGUAGCGUGAAGGAUGACUGCCCUAUGGGUUGUAAACUUCUUUUAUAUGGGAAUAAAAUGUUCCACGUGUGGGAUUUUGUAUGUACCAUAUGAAUAAGGAUCGGCUAACUCCGUGCCAGCAGCCGCGGUAAUACGGAGGAUCCGAGCGUUAUCCGGAUUUAUUGGGUUUAAAGGGAGCGUAGGUGGAUUGUUAAGUCAGUUGUGAAAGUUUGCGGCUCAACCGUAAAAUUGCAGUUGAAACUGGCAGUCUUGAGUACAGUAGAGGUGGGCAGAAUUCGUGGUGUAGCGGUGAAAUGCUUAGAGAUCACGAAGAACUCCGAUUGCGAAGGCAGUUCACUGGACUGCAACUGACACUGAGGCUCGAAAGUGUGGGUAUCAAACAGGAUUAGAUACCCGAGUAGUC